UUUCUAUUACCUUCGUCCCAAAUUACUUGUCUUAGAUUUGUCUAGAUAUGGAUGUAUCUAGACACGUUUAGAUACAUCCAUAUCUAGGCAAAUCUAAGACAAGUAAUUCGGGACGAAGGGAGUAUAUA
rfam:Triticum aestivum genome assembly, contig: Triticum_aestivum_CS42_TGACv1_scaffold_556455_7AL